AACGAACGCUGGCGGCAUGCCUAACACAUGCAAGUCGAACGAGACCUUCGGGUCUAGUGGCGCACGGGUGCGUAACGCGUGGGAAUCUGCCCUCUGGUUCGGAACAACAGUUGGAAACGACUGCUAAUACCGGAUAAUGACUUCGGUCCAAAGAUUUAUCGUCUGAGGAUGAGCCGGCGUAGGAUUAGCUUGUUGGUGAGGUAAAAGCUCACCAAGGCGACGAUCCUUAGCUGGUCUGAGAGGAUGAUCAGCCACACUGGGACUGAGACACGGCCCAGACUCCUACGGGUGGCAGCAGUGGGGAAUAUUGGACAAUGGGCGAAAGCCUGAUCCAGCAAUGCCGCGUGAGUGAUGAAGGCCUUAGGGUUGUAAAGCUCUUUUACCCGGGAUGAUAAUGACAGUACCGGGAGAAUAAGCCCCGGCUAACUCCGUGCCAGCCGCCGCGGUAAAAC
rnacentral:rRNA from 1 species